AGUGAACGCUGGCGGUAGGCCUAACACAUGCAAGUCGAACGGCAGCACAGUAAGAGCUUGCUCUUACGGGUGGCGAGUGGCGGACGGGUGAGGAAUACAUCGGAAUCUACUUUUUCGUGGGGGAUAACGUAGGGAAACUUACGCUAAUACCGCAUACGACCUACGGGUGAAAGCAGGGGAUCUUCGGACCUUGCGCGAUUGAAUGAGCCGAUGUCGGAUUAGCUAGUUGGCGGGGUAAAGGCCCACCAAGGCGACUAUCCGUAGCUGGUCUGAGAGGAUAUCAGCCACACUGGAACUGAGACACGGUCCAGACUCCUACGGGAGGCAGCAGUGGGGAAUAUUGGACAAUGGGCGCAAGCCUGAUCCAGCCAUACCGCGUGGGUGAAGAAGGCCUUCGGGUUGUAAAGCCCUUUUGUUGGGAAAGAAAAGCAGCAGGUUAAUACCCCGCUGUUCUGACGGUACCCAAAGAAUAAGCACCGGCUAACUUCGUG
rnacentral:rRNA from 1 species